rnacentral:rRNA from 1 species
UACGGAGGGGGCUAGCGUUGUUCGGAAUUACUGGGCGUAAAGCGCACGUAGGCGGCUUUGCAAGUCAGAGGUGAAAGCCCGGGGCUCAACCCCGGAAUUGCCUUUGAGACUGCAUCGCUAGAAUUGUGGAGAGGUAAGUGGAAUUCCGAGUGUAGAGGUGAAAUUCGUAGAUAUCGAGAGGAACACCGGUGGCGAAGGCGGCCAACUGGACGAGUACUGACGCUGAGACACGAAAGCGUGGGGAGCAAACAGG